CCUACGGGAGGCUGCAGUGGGGAAUAUUGGACAAUGGGCGAAAGCCUGAUCCAGCCAUGCCGCGUGUGUGAAGAAGGCCUUCGGGUUGUAAAGCACUUUCAGUGGGGAAGAAAGCCUUGGGGCUAAUACCCUCGAGGAAGGACAUCACCCACAGAAGAAGCACCGGCUAACUCCGUGCCAGCAGCCGCGGUAAUACGGAGGGUGCGAGCGUUAAUCGGAAUUACUGGGCGUAAAGCGCGCGUAGGCGGUCUGAUAAGCCGGUUGUGAAAGCCCCGGGCUCAACCUGGGAACGGCAUCCGGAACUGUCAGGCUAGAGUGCAGGAGAGGAAGGUAGAAUUCCCGGUGUAGCGGUGAAAUGCGUAGAGAUCGGGAGGAAUACCAGUGGCGAAGGCGGCCUUCUGGACUGACACUGACGCUGAGGUGCGAAAGCGUGGGUAGCAAACAGGAUUAGAUCCCGAGUAGUC
rnacentral:rRNA from 1 species